UACGUAGGGUGCAAGCGUUGUCCGGAAUUAUUGGGCGUAAAGAGCUCGUAGGCGGUUUGUCGCGUCUGCUGUGAAAUCUGGAGGCUCAACCUCCAGCCUGCAGUGGGUACGGGCAGACUAGAGUGCGGUAGGGGAGAUUGGAACUCCUGGUGUAGCGGUGGAAUGCGCAGAUAUCAGGAAGAACACCGAUGGCGAAGGCAGAUCUCUGGGCCGGUAAACUGACGCUGGAGGAG
rnacentral:rRNA from 1 species